rnacentral:tRNA from 1 species
GGGGGUACAGCUCAGUGGUAGAGUGGGUGCUUAGCAUGCACAAGGUCCUGAUUUCAAUCCCCAUUACCUCCA